rnacentral:rRNA from 1 species
UACGGGGGGGGCAAGCGUUGUUCGGAAUUACUGGGCGUAAAGGGCUCGUAGGCGGCCAACUAAGUCAGACGUGAAAUCCCUCGGCUUAACCGGGGAACUGCGUCUGAUACUGGAUGGCUCGAGUUUGGGAGAGGGAUGCGGAAUUCCAGGUGUAGCGGUGAAAUGCGUAGAUAUCGGGAGGAACACCAGUGGCGAAGGCGGAACUCUGGGCCGGAACUGACGCUGAGGAGCGAAAGCGUGGGGAGCGAACAGG